rnacentral:ribozyme from 12 species
GACAACUCUAUUCAUACACAUUUUUCUUUUUCUGUCAGAGUACUCCAAAGAAGUUUUACCCCUCCUUUGUCACCACUCUGCUUGGAUGCCUUCGUAGUGAUGGGGGAAAACGUCUAUGUGAUGCCAAAGGUAUGAAGAGAAGCUUAGUUGUAUAGAGGAAAUGCUCCUCACUUUGAAGAUCUUGUUUGAAGGGCCAAUGGAGAAAGGCCUUGAAAUUAAAGAUAUUUCAGAGAAAAAAAGGAGGGAAGCACACAGACACAAGAAAGAAAGAACAUCCUGCGGUUGGAAAAUCACAGGCGUGUCUGCAACCCUCCGGAGGAGAGAGAGUGAUUCAAAGGCUGUGAUGGAAAACAGAGAACCAGACUUCAGGUGUAAACUGGAGAGAGCUUUGCUGCCAGCAAGGCAUCCUUUGAGGUGGCUGCAGCUCAAAAGGGAUGAAAUGAGAAGAGCCAGAGUUUGACUAGAAGUGGGGAAAAAGACCAGCUCAGACAGAGAUUCAAAGAGGCUGGAAUCUACCUCUCCUGCUGACUGUGAAUGAGACUGCAGUAUACUUGGCUACAAGUCCAUCUGCUCUUUAACCUUUUUUUUUUUUUUAAAUCUAUCUAAGAGUGUUUUUCCUUUGAAGUUUCCAGCACCAUUUAUGAAGGCUCAAAAGGGAUAUUAUUCAUAUGUUUCAGAUGAAGAAAGCUGAACUGUCAAAGUAACAACUGGCUUGAGAAUAACCAGUAUUCUCCAAGGCAUUUCGAAGGACCUGGGAAAAGAUCCUGUGCUUACCAGGAAAUUUCACUGAUCUUAUCAAGCCCCAAAACACAGGAAGGAGAAAAACAUCUGCACAAAUGAAAAACCAUUGCUAUCUUGUUGAAAACCCCAGUGGUAAACAUUUUUCAUAAAAUGAGAGGUAUCUGCUUCUGUGGGAUUUUUUUUAGCAGUAAAAGAAUAGAUGGUGCAAGACAAGUGAAG